UAAAGAUAAAAUGAGUGAAGAAAAGGGAGAAAAGAAAAAAAAUAAUAAAAGAGAGAGAGAGAGAGACAGAUAAAACGAAGAGAAAGGAAGCACAGGUAACGUCAGCAGGUGUGUGGGUCAGUGAGGGAUAACAUUAACUUCCCUCUUACCUCUCUUACCUGUGUUCUUAUCUUCUCAAGGCCACUGGAGACGCGAGCAAUGGAUUUCGAGUCCCAUUGAAGCUACAGAGGGCCUUCAAAGUUCAUAAGAGACCCUCGCUUGACUAGAAAAGGGAGCAGCUACAUCAGCAUACAUAGUCUCCCCGGAUGCCCAGUCGCCGCCCAGGUGUCGUGAUGAGAGGAGAGUGCUGCGUCAUGUCCCCUCAGUGCUCCUCAUGCCUCGACUAUCUGCCUUGGGUGUCUCCAUUAGCCGUGGGGGGCUCAGGUUAGUCUCGCUGCGUGGGAUCCAGUUACUCGAGAACCAACGAACCAACCAGUGAACGAACCCAACUGAACCGAACCGAAUGUAAUGAAGCUGAACUACUCUAAAGGUAAUGGAGCCAAAUUUUACUUUAUCUGACCUUAACCUGACCCGACCAGACCUUACUGAACUUAAUCUAAUGUAACUUAACCUAACCCUUACUUUACCAUACCGUACCUUGCCAUACCGUACAUUACAUUACCUUACCUUACCUUUCC